AUUUAGCCCCGAUAGAAGUGGAAAUCCUUUUGUGGUGGUCCCGAUAGCUAUCGGGAACCACAAAAGAUUGGAACGAAUAGCGGGACAAGUC
rnacentral:sRNA from 1 species